rnacentral:rRNA from 1 species
UUUGAUCAUGGCUCAGAUUGAACGCUGGCGGGAUGCUUUACACAUGCAAGUCGAACGGCAGCACGGACUUCGGUCUGGUGGCGAGUGGCGAGCAGAUGAGUAAUGUAUCGGAACGUGCCUAGUAGCGGGGGAUAACCACGCGAAAGCGUAGCUAAUACCGCAUACGCCCUUCGGGGAAAGCGGGGACCUUCGGGCCUCGCACUGGUGGAGAGCGGCCGAUAUCGGAUUAGCUAAUUUGGUGGGGUAACGGCUCCACCAAGGCGACGAUCCGUAGCUGGUUUGAGAGGACGACCAGCCACACACUGGGACUAAGACGUAGACUCUCUGGAGGCAGCGGUGGAGAAUUUUGGAUAAUGGGAAACCUGAUCAGCCAUCCCGCGUGUGCGAUGAAGGCCUUCGGGUUGUAAAGCACUUUUGGCAGGAAAGAAACGGCACGGGGGAUAUUACCCCGUGCAACUGACAGUACCUGCAGAAUAAGCACCGGCUAACUACGUGCCAGCAGCCGCGGUAAUACGUAAGUGCAAGCGUUAAUCGGAAUUACUGGGCGUAAAGCGUGCGCAGGCGUUCGGAAAAGAAAGAUAACCAAAUCAGAGCUUAACUUUGGAGCUACGUUUUUUUACUUCACCGAGAGCUAGAGUGUGUCAGAGGGAGGUGGAAUUCCCGUGCUUAAGUGAAAUACGUAGAUAUGCGGAGAACACCGAUAGCGGCAGCCUCCUGGGAUAACACUGACGCUCAUGCACGAGCGUGGGGAGCAAACAGGAUUAGAUACCUGGUAGUCCCGCCUAAACGAUGUCAACUGGCUGUUGGGGCCUUCGGGCCUUGUUGGCAGCUAACGCGUGAAGUUGACCGCCUGGGGAAAUACGGUCGCAAGAUUAAAACUCAAAGGAAUUGACGGGGACCGCACAAGCAGUGGAUGAUGUGGAUUAAUUUCGAUGCAACGCGAAAAACCUUACCUACCUUAAUGUCUGGAAUCCCGAAGAGAUUUGGGUGCUCGCAAGAAGAACAGGACACAGGUGCUGCACGGCUGUCGUCAGCUCGUGUCGUGAAUGUUGGGUUAAGUCCCGCAACGAGCGCAACCCUUGUCAUUAGUUGCUACGAAGGGCACUCUGGCGGACUGCCGGUGACAAGCCGGAAGGUGAGGAUGACGUCAAGUACUCAUGGCCACCUUAAAUUUAGGAACUACACGUCAUACAAUGGUCAGGACAGAGGUCAUAACCGCGAGGGGGCCAAUCAAACGAUCGUAGUCGGAUUAUGAUCUGCAACUCGACUGCGUGAAGUCAGAUCGCCUAGUAAUCGCGGAUCAGCAUGUCGCGGUGAAUACGUUCCCGGGUCUUGUACACACCGCCCGUCACACCAUGGGAGUGGGUUUUGCAGAAGUAGUUAGCCUAACAAGCAGGAGGGCGAUUACCACAGUAGGAUUCAUGACUGGGGUAAAGUCUGUAACAAGGUAA